rnacentral:rRNA from 1 species
CCUACGGGUGGCAGCAGUGAGGAAUAUUGGUCAAUGGGCGCGAGCCUGAACCAGCCAAGUAGCGUGAAGGAUGACUGCCCUACGGGUUGUAAACUUCUUUUAUCAAGGAAUAAAGUGAGGCACGUGUGCCUUUUUGUAUGUACUUUAUGAAUAAGGAUCGGCUAACUCCGUGCCAGCAGCCGCGGUAAUACGGAGGAUCCGAGCGUUAUCCGGAUUUAUUGGGUUUAAAGGGAGCGUAGAUGGGUUGUUAAGUCAGUUGGGAAAGUUUGCGGCUCAACCGUAAAAUUGCAAUUGAUACUGGCAGUCUGGAGUACAGAUGAGGUAGGAGGAAUGCGUGGUGUAGCGGUGAAAUGCUUAGAUAUCACGAAGAACUCCGAUUGCGAAGGCAGCUUACGAAUCUGCCACUGACAUUGAUGCUCGAAAGUGUGGGUAUCAAACAGGAUUAGAUACCCUUGUAGUC